rnacentral:SRP_RNA from 1 species
UCCUGUAACCCUAGCGGGCGCUAGGGUUGAGGGAUUGGCCUGCACGAAAGGAGAUUAUGCACGCUUACGUUCGUCCUUAAAGCUCAUCGGUGAUGGUAUCCUAUCACUUCGUGAAAAUGAAGUGGUAUGCCUUCAUGCUGCACCUGGAAAGGACUAGGCCGGCAACGGAGCACUCCAUCAGGUCGCCGUUGAGGGUUUAUGGAUCGCGAACAA